UACGUAGGGGGCUAGCGUUGUCCGGAAUCAUUGGGCGUAAAGCGCGCGUAGGCGGCCCGGUAAGUCCGUUGUGAAAGUCAAAGGCUCAACCUUUGAAUGCCGAUGGAUACUGCCGGGCUCGAGUCCGGAAGAGGCGAGUGGAAUUCCUGGUGUAGCGGUGGAAUGCGCAGAUAUCAGGAGGAACACCAAUAGCGAAGGCAGCUCGCUGGGACGGUACUGACGCUAAGGAGCGAAAGCGUGGGGAGCGAACAGG
rnacentral:rRNA from 1 species